rnacentral:rRNA from 1 species
GACGAACGCUGGCGGCGUGCCUAAUACAUGCAAGUUGAGCGCUGAAGGUUGGUACUUGUACCGACUGGAUGAGCAGCGAACGGGUGAGUAACGCGUGGGGAAUCUGCCUUUGAGCGGGGGACAACAUUUGGAAACGAAUGCUAAUACCGCAUAAAAACUUUAAACACAAGUUUUAAGUUUGAAAGAUGCAAUUGCAUCACUCAAAGAUGAUCCCGCGUUGUAUUAGCUAGUUGGUGAGGUAAAGGCUCACCAAGGCGAUGAUACAUAGCCGACCUGAGAGGGUGAUCGGCCACAUUGGGACUGAGACACGGCCCAAACUCCUACGGGAGGCAGCAGUAGGGAAUCUUCGGCAAUGGACGAAAGUCUGACCGAGCAACGCCGCGUGAGUGAAGAAGGUUUUCGGAUCGUAAAACUCUGUUGGUAGAGAAGAACGUUGGUGAGAGUGGAAAGCUCAUCAAGGGACGGAAACUAACCAGAAAGGGACGGCUAACUACGU